ACAGAAUCUGAUGCACCCGGCUUACAAAGCAAAACGCUAUACUGAUGAAAGCGAACAGUAAUCGUACAGGGUAGUACAAAUAAAAAAGGCACGUCAGAUGACGUGCCUUUUUU
rnacentral:sRNA from 1 species